CAUUAAUGAUUGCCUCUUUGCAUGGUGGGUCAUCUGAUUUGUCUUAGAAAGUUGCAAAGAAAUUCAAAGGAACAUUUCAUCAUAAGAUAUACAUUACUUAAGUUAAUUAAAGUAAAUUAUGAUUAAUUAUCAUGUAGAGUCCGGAGCUGAAUCCAACAACGGAAUAUAUUUGCUUGCUCUAUAGGAGAGGUGGGAAUAAGUCCAUAUUUAGAUUGCAAGUCCACGUUUGUGCUCAUAAUCCAAGUCCUUUAAUAUUUUUAUCGUACCCUAAAAUUAUGAGAAGAUUUGUUAAAAGUGGUCUUAAAUCCAAUAAAGACUCGAGUUUUAGCUAUCAAAUCCAAGUCAAUUCAUAAGUCUUUUAUUGUAAGAUCAAUUGAGUCACAAAUUUUCAAAUUAUGGACUCAUGUACGUGGCGCAAUUAGUGAGCUCAAGCCUGCAUUUUAGGAGUGAAGAUGAUAUAUUGGAGUAAUGUUUUAUAUUCAACAUAUUUCCUGAUAUUUGUACUUUUACUUAUUGUAUUCAUUUAUUCUAAAUAAACAUAAUAAUAAUUGA
rnacentral:lncRNA from 1 species